rnacentral:rRNA from 1 species
ACKGCUCAGUAACACGUCGGUAACCUGCCCUACGGUCAGGGAUAAGCACGGGAAACUGUGUGUAACACCUGAUAAGGGAUGGACACUGGAAUGUUCCUUCCCUCAAACUCGUGCCGUAGGAUGGGCCGGCGGCGGAUUAGGCUGUUGGUGGGGUAACGGCCCACCAAACCUUUGAUCCGUACGGGCCAUGAGAGUGGUAGCCCGGAGAGGGACACUGAAAUACUGGUCCCAGCCCUACGGGGUGCAGCAGGCGCGAAACCUCCACAAUGCACGAAAGUGUGAUGGGGGGAUCCUACGUGCUCAUGUCUAACAUGGGCUUUUGUUGAGACUAGACAUCUUGGCGAAUAAGGGGUGGGUAAGACUGGUGCCAGCCGCCGCGGUAAUACCGGCGGCUCGAGUGGUGGCCACUAUUACUGGGCUUAAAGCGUUCGUAGCUGGUUUGUUAAGUCUCUGGGGAAAUCUGCCGGCUCAACCGGCAGGCGUUCCAGGGAUACUGGCAGACUAGGGACCGGGAGAGGUGAGGGGUACUCCAGGGGUAGGAGUGAAAUCCUGUAAUCCUUGGGGGACCACCUGUGGCGAAGGCGCCUCACCAGAACGGCUCCGACAGUGAGGGACGAAAGCUAGGGGAGCAAACCGGAUUAGAUACCCGGGUAGUCCCAGCCGUAAACGAUGCGCGUUAGGUGUAUCGGUGACCACGAGUCACCGAGGUGCCGAAGAGAAAUCGUGAAACGUGCCGCCUGGGAAGUACGGUCGCAAGGCUGAAACUUAAAGGAAUUGGCGGGGGAGCAC